rnacentral:rRNA from 1 species
AUUGAACGCUGGCGGCAGGCCUAACACAUGCAAGUCGAGCGGAUGAAGGGAGCUUGCUCCUGGAUUCAGCGGCGGACGGGUGAGUAAUGCCUAGGAAUCUGCCUGGUAGUGGGGGAUAACGUCCGGAAACGGGCGCUAAUACCGCAUACGUCCUGAGGGGGAAAGUGGGGGAUCUUCGGACCUCACGCUAUCAGAUGAGCCUAGGUCGGACUAGCUAGUUGGUGGGGUAAAGGCCUACCAAGGCGACGAUCCGUAACUGGUCUGAGAGGAUGAUCAGUCACACUGGAACUGAGACACGGUCCAGACUCCUACGGGAGGCAGCAGUGGGGAAUAUUGGACAAUGGGCGAAAGCCUGAUCCAGCCAUGCCGCGUGUGUGAAGAAGGUCUUCGGAUUGUAAAGCACUUUAAGUUGGGAGGAAGGGCAGUAAGUUAAUACCUUGCUGUUUUGACGUUACCAACAGAAUAAGCACCGGCUAACUUCGUG